rnacentral:lncRNA from 1 species
GGAAAUGAGGUGCUUAUUUUUCUUGGGACGUUAUAGCCUCUUAAAAUAAUCCUUCACAAACAGACUGUAUCCAUAUUUAUAUCAUAUCGAACUAGGUUCAUAUCCUUAUAAACCCCGAGACUGUAAUCGAACUCUUUAUGAGCUCAAUUGCAAGAGAGAAAAUUAAACUAAAUAUCUAUUACAACUUGACCAAGUCAAAACAAAAUCUACUUUAAUUCUCUCUCUUGCAAUUGAGCUCAUAAAAAGUGAUAAUCUUAUUCACUUAAUUACGCAAACCGGCUCCACCCUUAGGUGAGAUACGUUUCCACCUACAAAAAUGCAUAAGAUUUGAAUGUCAGACAUUCACUUCACUUCCAUUUACGAACUUCAUUGUCUCCAUGGGUGAACCCGGGCAAACCCCCAAUCCGUGCAAAACGCCCCAUCAACACAACAUAUGUGCGAUUUGCUACACAUCCUUCUUUGGUCUUUCUCUUAUACUUAUACUUUCACUAUUAGAUAUGUAGAUUUCAUAGUAUCCUCAAACACCUAAAUCCACAAUGGCAUAUAAUUACUAUGAAUUAUCAACUAUCUAUUAAGUGAAGUCUUUGGCUGCAUAAACUCUUUUUUGUGAAAUAAAGUUAAAUGUUCCCGUUUCUUGUGCAAUUUUCCUAGCCCUCCACGAACAUUUAGAUUAGCAAGCAACACAAUAAAAGUAGUGGAAACGCUUAUCUCACCGGAGGGAGGAGCCGAUUUGCUCAAGCGAAAUAGCUAAGUGAAGAAGAUACCAUCACCUUAUAGACUCACAUAAAAAAUCUAUGAUCUUGCAACUUCAACAUAAUGUACAUCUUUAGCACAUAUGAUAAAUAUCAGCAUAUGUAACAAAAACUUGAGGGGAAGAAUCUGGCUGCAUGCGGCUUCUGUAAUAAAGCCUAUAGCUGACAAACAUUUCCUGGAACUUCCAUACAUACAUUUCAGACAUGCUUUUGUGUUUCCAUGACCCUCACAUGGAGGCCAUGCAGGGUAGCUGUACCUCCUGUUGUUGCAGCGUAUCAGCCAUGGCCGGAGCGAGAAACUUGAGCCGC